rnacentral:rRNA from 1 species
UAAGGAAUAUUGGACAAUGCCCGCAAGGGUGAUCCAGCCAUGCCGCGUGCAGGAAGACGGCCCUAUGGGUUGUAAACUGCUUUUACACCGGAGAAAACCCCCCUACGUGUAGGGGGCUGAUAGUAUGGUGAGAAUAAGCAUCGGCUAACUUCGUGCCAGCAGCCGCGGUAAGACGAAGGAUGCAAGCGUUAUCCGGAUUCAUUGGGUUUAAAGGGAGCGUAGGUGGACUGGUAAGUCAGUGGUGAAAUCUCCGAGCUUAACUCGGAAAUUGCCAUUGAUACUGUCGGUCUUGAGUAUAGUUGCCGUUGGCGGAAUAUGACAUGUAGUGGUGAAAUACAUAGAGAUGUCAUAGAACACCGAUUGCGAAGGCAGCUGACGAAACUAUAACUGACACUGAGGCUCGAAAGUGUGGGGAUCAAACAGGAUUAGAUACCCCUGUAGUCC